rnacentral:rRNA from 1 species
ACGCACGCUGGCGGCGUGCCUAAUCCAUGCAAGUCGAGCGAAGUUUUUCUGGUGCUUGCACCGGAAAAACUUAGCGGCGAACGGGUGAGUAACACGUAAAGAACCCGCCUCAUAGACUGGGACAACUAUUGGAAACGAUAGCUAAUACCGGAUAAUAGCAUUAACUGCAUGGUUGAUGUUUAAAAGUUGGUUUUGCUAACACUAUGAGAUGGCUUUGCGGUGCAUUAGCUAGUUGGUGGGGUAAAGGCCUACCAAGGCGACGAUGCAUAGCCGACCUGAGAGGGUGAUCGGCCACACUGGGACUGAGACACGGCCCAGACUCCUACGGGAGGCAGCAGUAGGGAAUCUUCCGCAAUGGGCGAAAGCCUGACGGAGCAACGCCGCGUGAGUGAAGAAGGAUUUCGGUUCGUAAAGCUCUGUUGUUAGGGAAGAAUGAUUGUGUAGUAACUAUACACAGUAGAGACGGUACCUAACCAGAAAGCCACGGCUAACUACGUG